rnacentral:rRNA from 1 species
GUCCACGCCGUAAACGAUGGAUACUAGCUGUUGGGGGCAACUCCAGUGGCUAAGCGAAAGUGAUAAGUAUCCCACCUGGGGAGUACGUUCGCAAGAAUGAAACUCAAAGUAAUUGACGGGGCCCGCACAAGCGGUGGAGCAUGUGGUUUAAUUCGAUGAUACGCGAGGAACCUUACCAAGGCUUAAAUGUAGAUUGACCGUUUUGGAAACAGAACUUUCGCAAGACAAUUUACAAGGUGCUGCAUGGUUGUCGU